UCAAAAACAUGGCUUUUAGGAAUAAAAUUAAAGGUCUGGACCUGUCCGCUGAUGAUUUGAAGGGCCGCGGUAUCUUGACCGUGCAAAGGUAGCAUAAUCAUUCGUCUUUUUAUUGGAGGCUGGAAUGAAGGGUUUGACGAAAUAUUAACUGUCUCAAUAAAUUAUAUUGAAUUUGACUUUUAAGUAAAAAGGCUUAAAUGUGAAUAGGGGACGAUAAGACCCUAUAGAACUUUAUAAUAAAGAUAUUAUGGAGAUAUUAAAUUAUUUUACUGGGGUGGUGGAGAAAGAGUUGAACUUUUGAAAAUUUAACACUUAUUGGUGAAUAAUGGAUCCAUUAUUAAUGAUUAUCAGAAAUAGUUACCUUAGGGAUAACAGCUUAAUUUUUUUUGAGAGAUCUUAUCAACAAAAAGGAUUGAGACCUCGAUGUUGGAUUAUGAUUAGGUUUAGAUGAAGAAGUUUAAAUUAUAAGUCUGUUCGACUUUUAAAUUCUUACAUGAUCUGAG
rnacentral:rRNA from 1 species